rnacentral:lncRNA from 1 species
GUGUGCACUGUGGCCGUGCCUGAUGUGCUGAGGGACUUAUUUGGCUUGGGGAAGGGCCAGGCCUCUCUGCCCAUAGCAUUGAGGACAGAGGCACAGGUCUCUGUCACUGGGCUGACAGCUUCCAUUCUUCCAAAUCCCCUCUUCUGAGCUAGUCUGCCAUGGACCAAGUGAGCAUGUGUGUGUUUUUAUGCUUUGUACUUCUGUCUCCAUCCAUCUACAAUCCUAGCACUGAAACCACACUCCUCUGAGCCACUGUGUGCACCGGCGAGGCCUUCUCAUGGAUGGUCGCAGUCAUUCUCAUUUCUACGCAUGCUUCCUCCAGGCCAGGCUCACAGGUGGGCCUGCCGGGUGAUUCUGGAUCCUGUGAAGUUGACAGCUUACAUUAACCAUCACAAGUAGCAUGCAAAAUCUGAUUUCUUAAUGGAAGAUACAGCACAAGAUCUGGGAGAAAUUUCAAUGUUGUGUAAAAGGAGCACCUAGAAGAAUGAAGUCCUAUGAGGAGAAUUCUUUGUGAGAAAACCUGAGACUUGUGACCUCGGUUUCUUCGAAACAUGGACUUAUUCUUGGAUGGUUUCGUGCUCCUCCCAGGUGUAGUGGAUAGGGGUGGGCGGACUUCAGAUUACUCACUAGUGCUUGCAGUUGUUGUUAAGUGUUUAGACAGUCCUUUCUAGUCCUCUGGAGAAAACCAGGGUUUUUACCAGGUGGGGCUUGUUCUUGUGAUUUUAUACAGCACGAAACUCAUGAGAACUUAAUUCAUGUGAUUUUUCUUAACCCUCAGAGUGUAAAUUGUCCGAAGCCCUGAAUAGAAAUGAUCAUUGCACGAGACUGUAGCCUCCUUGUUUAUCGGCUCCAUUCUCCCACAUGUGAAGGUUAUCACGAUAAUCACGUCCACUCGGGCACCGAAAGACGAGUAUUACAUGCCUUCUGUCC